AUACGGAGGGAGCAAGCGUUAUUCGGAAUCACUGGGCGUAAAGGACGCGUAGGCGGGUUUGUAAGUCAGGUGUGAAAUCCUACAGCUCAACUGUAGAACUGCACUUGAAACUACAGACCUAGAGUAUGAAAGGGGCAGAUGGAAUUAGUGGUGUAGGGGUAAAAUCCGUAGAUAUCACUAGGAAUACCGAAAGCGAAGGCGAUCUGCUGGGACAUUACUGACGCUGAGGCGUGAAAGCGUGGGGAGCAAACAGAAUUAGAAACCCUAGUAGUCC
rnacentral:rRNA from 1 species